UCCCGUGUAGCUCAGUCGGUAGAGCGUUGGACUCUUAAUCCAAAUGUCGUCGGUUCGAGCCCGGCCUCGGGAG
rnacentral:tRNA from 1 species